rnacentral:rRNA from 1 species
GGACUACAGGGGUAUCUAAUCCUAUUUGCUCCCCACGCUUUCGUGUCUCAGCGUCAGUAAUGGCCCAGCAAGCCGCCUUCGCCACUGGUGUUCCUUCUAAUAUCUACGCAUUUAACCGCUACACUAGAAAUUCCACUUGCCUCUACCACACUCAAGUCUACCAGUUUCUAAGACGAACCGAGGUUGAGCCUCGGACUUUGAUCUUAGACUUAAUAGACCGCCUACACACGCUUUACGCCCAAUAAAUCCGGAUAACGCUCGCCCCCUACGUAUUACCGCGGCUGCUGGCAC